rnacentral:lncRNA from 1 species
GAAUGAUAUAAUAUUGCAGUUUUACACUUUGGAGUCAUUAUUUGACAUAUAGUAAAGCAGGUGUUAUGUAGGUACGGUGUGAUGGAAAGUAUAGAAACCCACUGUCCUGUACAAGGUGUGGGUUAAAGUGGCAUGUGUGUAUUUGUACAGCUGGUGUCUGAAUUAUUCGUAGACCGGAGAAAAGCUCCCCUGAAAACCACAGCUGUGAUUCUGUAAGUGUAAUACUACUAAUAGUAAGUACUUCUGGGAACAUCUCUUUGCAUCCUUUAAACAUUAGUUUAAAACAAAAAAAGGAUCUGAAUGUUUUUGGAUGCAAUCAUCUACCACGUGGCUUUGUACUGUUGUGUUUGUGAGCUUAAUAAAUAACUAAGAGUGAAACAAACUUUCUCAUUUUUAUCCAUUUAGGUUCCCUUUAUUUGAGUUUGAAAAAUGAAAAUCAGGGAUUUUAUGAGAAACAGACUCCAAAUCAGUACUGCAUGUCCUAUUUUAUUAAACUUAUAUUCUUCUUUAUAUUAUAUUCUUCUUUUUCUAGGUGAGGUUUUUUUAUUUUGUUGUAUUUAGCAGGUGUUGAGAAAAAACUCCUCUGGAAUUGUGUAAAAGUAAAAGUUUAAACAUUUUAACAUUUAAAAUGUUAAAAUGUUCAAUGUUCACCUUAAAAAAGGUGAACAUUGAACAUUUUAACAUUUUAAGGCCAAAUAUAGGGUAACGUGCUUGUCCAUCCCAUAAUAUCACCGAUGAGAGCGGGAUUUGUUUUGUUUCAACCGGACGCGGAUUGGCCCAUCUAUACACCCAUACAUGUAUGUACCUUGCUUACAUAAACACCACAGAAGAAGACGUAUCCUAAAGAACCCAUUUUAAUAAUGUGGACUGGAGCGACCAUGAACCGUUCCCCGCCAGUCCUCAUCACUCAUCCCGCAGUUUCCUCCCGCACAUUCUGCAGAAGACGCUCCAUGGGCCAUGGAUGUGUACUUAUCUGGCUUGUUGUUCAGCCUGGAGCUCUGCGAAUAAACACAGACGAGGAAGUGCAAGGGAUUGGAUCCAUAAUGGCAGCAGCAGUGGACCAGUUUACGCAAAACAAUCAAGCCAAGGAGUGGAAGCAAAGGGGCUGUCAUUGUCCAGGGAUGUGAACCUGCAACCUUUUCAAUUUCACCCCACACUUCAAAGCCCUUCCGCCUGGACGAUCGCACGUCCCGGACAAAGGUCAAAAGACUUGGCAAAGUUCCAAAAGCCUGGUGGCAUUAUACCAGGACGUGAAAUGAAUGAAAAUGUGGACGGUAGGAACUAA